CAAUAGCGUAUAUUAAAGUUGUUGCAGUUAAAAAGCUCGUAGUUGGAUUUGUGGCGUACGACGGGCUCCGGGCACUUGUUGUCUGAGUAGCUUGUCGUUGCCAUCCUUGGGUGGAACCUGUGUGGCAUUAGGUUGUCGUGCAGGGGAUGCCCAUCUUUUACUGUGAAAAAAUUAGAGUGUUCAAAGCAGGCUUAUGCCGUUGAAUAUAUUAGCAUGGAAUAAUAAGAUAGGACUUUGUCGCUAUUUUGUUGGUUUGCGCGAUAAGGUAAUGAUUAAUAGGGACAGUUGGGGGUAUUCGCAUUCCAUUGUCAGAGGUGAAAUUCUUGGAUUUUUGGAAGACGAACUACUGCGAAAGCAUUUACCAAGGAUGUUUUCAUUAA
rnacentral:rRNA from 1 species